UAGGGAAUCUUCCGCAAUGGACGCAAGUCUGACGGAGCAACGCCGCGUGAGUGAAGAAGGAUUUCGGUUCGUAAAACUCUGUUGUUAGAGAAGAACAGCGCAUAGCGUAACCGUUAUGCGUGUGACGGUAUCUAACCAGAAAGCCACGGCUAACUACGUGCCAGCAGCCGCGGUAAUACGUAGGUGGCAAGCGUUGUCCGGAUUUAUUGGGCGUAAAGCGAGCGCAGGCGGUCAAUUAAGUCUGAUGUGAAAGCCCCCGGCUCAACCGGGGAGGGUCAUUGUAAACUGGUUGAGUUGAGUGCAGAAGGGGAGAGGGGAAUUCCAUGUGGAGCGGUGAAAGGCGUAGAUAUAUGGAGGAAAACCAGUGGCGGAGGCGACUCUCUGGUCUGUAACUGACGGUGGGGUUCGAAAGCGUGGGUAGCAAACAGG
rnacentral:rRNA from 1 species